rnacentral:rRNA from 1 species
UACGUAGGCAGCGAGCGUUGUUCGGAAUUACUGGGCGUAAAGAGUGUGUAGGCGGUGUUCCCAGUCUGUUGUGAAAUCUCCCGGCUUAACUGGGAGGGUGCAGCGGAAACUAGAAUGCUAGAGGGUGGGAGAGGUAAGCGGAAUUCCUGGUGUAGCGGUGAAAUGCGUAGAUAUCAGGAGGAACACCUGUGGUGAAGACAGCUUACUGGACCACUUCUGACGCUGAGACACGAAAGCGUGGGUAGCAAACAGG